AAGAGCCGGAUGCGGGAAAGCCGCAAGUCCGGAUUCUGUGAGGGGCGUACGACCGCAAGGGGUGCGUCUACUCGAC
rnacentral:ncRNA from 1 species